rnacentral:rRNA from 1 species
UGCAAGUCGAGCGCCCAGCAAGGGGAGCGGCAAACGGGAGAGUAACACGUGGGAACGUACCCUUCAGUUCGGAACACCCAAGGGAAACUUUGGCUAAUACCGAAUACGUCCGUAAGGAGAAAGAUUAUCGCUGAAGGAUCGGCCCGCGUCUGAUUAGCUAGUUGGUGAGGUAACGGCUCACCAAGGCGACAAUCAGUAGCUGGUCUGAGAGGAUGAUCAGCCUCUUUGGGACUGAAACACGGCCCAAACUCCUACGGGAGGCAGCAGGGGGGAAUAUUGGACAAGGGGCGCAAGCCUGAUCCAGCCAUGCCGCGGGGAUGAUGAAGGCCUUAGGGUUGUAAAGUCCUUUCGACGGGAAAAAUAAUGACGGUACCCGUAAAAAAAGCCCCGGCUAACUUCGUG